GUUUUGAACUCCUGACCUCCAGUGAUCCACCCACCUCGGCCUCCCAAAGUGCUGGGAUUACAGGCAUAAGCCACCGCCCCCAGCCUGUGCAGGCCUGUUUUAUGGAAGAUGACUGGGGAAAACCCACUAAUAAAAUGUGGUGACCACAAGACUGCUCAUGGAAAGCCUCUUACUACAGGGAGUAAAAUUCAUGAAGGCACUGAAACCACCAGUCUCCCGGGCUAUGAAAUGUAUUCUCUGCGGCGGACCCAGUCUUCCAGCACUUUGGAAGACAAAGGUGGGAGAAUCACUUGAGAGUUCGAGACCAGCCUGGGCAAAUAGUGGGACCCUUUCUCUACAAAAAAAUUUAAAAAUUAGCUCGGCGUGAUGGUGUGCACCUGUGGUGCCAGCUACUUAGGAGACUGAGGCAGGUGGAUGGCUUAAGCCCAGGAGUUCGAGGCUGCAGUGAGCCAUGAUUGCACCACUGCACUCCAGCCAGGACAGCAGAGUGAGACCCUGUCUCUGAAAAAAAAAAAAAUUAAAUUAAAUGUAAAUAUAAAAGUAAAAAUAAAUGUGUCUAUGGACCCGCCUGGUAGUAAGUUCCCUGCCACCAUUUGGGAUAGAUAAACUUAGCCAUUCACAUCGGUCCCCUUACCCUGUCUCGACCCAGCCAGUAUUCAAUCAGAACACACACUGUUUGCCACAUGGAAUUGUAGAUGCUAGUGCCACCUUCAAAGAUGUAAAAGAUUCAGAGGGGUGGUGAUUCCUAUCCAAUGGGUAGCUCCCCAUUGAGUUCACCUGUUUGGCUCCUAAAAAAACUGAUGGAUUGGCCAGGCAUAGUGGCUCACACCUGUAAUCCCAGCAUUUUGGGAGGGCAAGGCAGGCACAUCACGAGGUCAAGAGAUGGAGACCAUCCUGGCCAACAUAGUAAAACCCCAUUUCUACUGAAAAUACAAAAAUUAGCUGGGCGUGGUGGAACGCACUGUAGUCUCAGCUACUUGGGAGGCUGAGGCAGGAGAAUAGCUUGAACCCGGGAGGCGGAGGUUGCAGUGAGCCGAGAUCGCACCACUGCACUCCAGCCUGGCGACAGAGCGAGGCUCCGUCUCAAAAAAUAAAAAAAGAUGGACUGUGGUAGGGGACAGGGGACCACCAUACAUUUAGGCAAGUGCAUGGUCCAACUCAUAGCUGCUGUGUCAAGCGUGCCGUCUGUUUUUUUGUUCGUUUGUUUGUUUUUUGAGACAGAGUCUCAGUCUAUCACCCAGGCUUGAGUACGGUGACAUGAUCUCGACUCACUGCAACCUCCGCCUCCUGGGUUCAAGCAAUUCUCCUGCCUCAGCCUCCCAAGUAGUUGGGAUUACAGGCGUGCACAACCACACCCGGUUAAUUUUUUGUAUUUUUAGUAGAGACGGAAUUUCACCAUGGUGGCCAUGACUGGUCCCCAACUCCUGACCUCAGGUGAUCUGCCCGCCUCCACCUCCCAAAGUGCUGAGAUUACAGGCCUGAGCCACCGCGCCCAGCCAUGGCAUCUGUUUUACCAGAAGAGAUCAACACACCCUCUGAAACAUGAUACAGGACACUGAUCUGCUCACUGCAACUUCUGCCUCCCGGUCUCCUGCCACCACUCCCGGCCAUCCUCCCACCUCAGCCUCCUGAGUAGCUGGGACUACAGGCACGCACCCCC
rnacentral:lncRNA from 10 species